rnacentral:rRNA from 1 species
GAGGUAUCCCACCACCUUGAGUGGGUAAGGCUCCCAAGAGACUAUUGGGUUGAUAGGCCGGAGAUGUAAGCCAGGUAACUGGUUCAGUCGACCGGUACUAAUAGGCCGAGGGCUUAACCAC